CCUACGGGGCGCUGCAGUGAGGAAUAUUGGUCAAUGGCCGGAAGGCUGAACCAGCCAAGCCGCGUGAAGGACGAAGGUGCCAAGCAUUGUAAACUUCUUUUGUCAAGGGACAAAAUCAGGCUCGAGAGCCUGACCGAGGGUACUUGAAGAAAAAGCAUCGGCUAACUCCGUGCCAGCAGCCGCGGUAAUACGGAGGAUGCGAGCGUUAUCCGGAUUUAUUGGGUUUAAAGGGUGCGUAGGCGGACUGUUAAGUCAGCGGGAAAAGCCCGGGGCUCAACCCCGGCGAGCCGUUGAGACUGGCUGUCUUGAGAUGUCGAGAGGUAUGCGGAAUGCGCAGUGUAGCGGUGAAAUGCUUAGAUAUUGCGCAGAACUCCGAUUGCGAAGGCAGCAUACCGGCGGCGAUCUGACGCUGAGGCACGAAAGCGUGGGUAUCGAACAGGAUUAGAUACCCUGGUAGUC
rnacentral:rRNA from 1 species